rnacentral:tRNA from 3 species
GCCCGCGUGGUGAAAUGGUAGACACAGGGGACUUAAACUCCCCAGGCCGCAAGGCCGUGCCGGUUCAAGUCCGGCCGCGGGCACCA